rnacentral:rRNA from 1 species
UACGAAGGGGGCUAGCGUUGCUCGGAAUCACUGGGCGUAAAGCGCACGUAGGCGGAUUGCUAAGUCAGGGGUGAAAUCCUGGAGCUCAACUCCAGAACUGCCUUUGAUACUGGCGAUCUUGAGUCCGGGAGAGGUGAGUGGAACUGCGAGUGUAGAGGUGAAAUUCGUAGAUAUUCGCAAGAACACCAGUGGCGAAGGCGGCUCACUGGCCCGAUACUGACGCUG